CGGGUGCCGCGCGGGCGGCCCUGCCUAGUCCCAGGAAAGUAUGUGAUGGUGAUGGGAAUGGUUCAGGCCUGCAGCCCUGAGCCCUGCCUACAGGCUGUGAAGAUGACAGACCUUUCUGAUAAUCCCAUUCAUGAAAGUAUGUGGGAACUGGAAGUGGAAGAUUUACACAAGAAUAUUCCUUAGAUGAUGUUGGAACUGUCGUUAAAAACAACCAAAAUCCUGAAACUGUUUAGAAGCUUAUAAUGAUGUGGAUUUCAUGGACAUUUUUUCAAUGCGUAUUUUUCAAAAGUUUUUCAGAGAGGCUUGCUUUGGUUGACCAAGGAGUCCGGAUGUAGGAAUGUUUAAGUCCUGGGAUACUUCAGUGACACAGCCUCUGCCGCCCCUUGCUUUGCCUGUGUUCGCUGAUGAAAAGCAGAUGCUUGUGUUUCUUUUUCCUUCCUGGUUUGUGUGUGUUAAUUCUCUCUCUCUCUCUCAAACACAGAAGUCUCAUGUUGCAUUUUCCAAAUUUUAUGAGUGAUGAUACUUUUUCCAUUUCUGCUGCAUCCCUGUUUUACAAUGCAAAAUUUAAGCGCGGUUAUUGCCCGUGGUGAUUAAAGUGUGGUUAUGGGCAGGAAGACAGACUGUGUGAAAAAGGAAUGACAUCAGGGCUCCUCCUCUUCUUCAUCAGCAACUACCAUAACCAGUUUGCAAGUCAAAUGGCAUAUUUCCUAACGGCAGGCACGGCGGCCCCUGAAAGACAACAGCUCCCUUUCUGCUUCGGACACCACUCAAACAUUUAGACACGGCUCUGUCCGUUUUCCUAGCUAGAGAAGAUGAUACCUUCUUUCACCACUCAGAGAUGUUGAGACGUUUUCAGAAUUUCUUGUUGAAAUGAAAAACAUCAAGAUAAAGGACGCCUUUCAGGCAUUAGCUAAACUUCUGCUUCAUAACUUUGGGUGAGACAUGGUGAGCCUCCUGGUUUAGAGUUCUUUUGUCUUUUUGUAUGGAAUGACUUUUUGCUGUGAUUGUUUUGAAUGUUGGGUUUCUGCUGUCUGCUUAGUACCCAUACCUGAAUUUUUUGAGACUUUAAAUAUCGAGGGAGUUAGAUGAUGUUAUGACAUGAUUGUAGACUUUCAUCUGGAUUAUUGAUAUUCUACCUCUAAUAAAUUGUUUAAUAUGCUG